ACAUGGUUUUUUGAUUAUAAUUUAAAGUUGUCUCUGCCCAAUGAUUUAAUUAAAUGGCCGCAGUAUUUUGACUGUGCUAAGGUAGCAUAAUCAAUAGUUUUUUAAAUGAGAACUAGAAUGAAAGAGUUGAUAAAAUAUAUACUUUAUUUAAUUAAAAUUUUGAAUUUAAAUUUUUAGUAAAAAUGCUAAAAUUUAUUUAUGGGACGAGAAGACCCUUUAGAAUUUUAUAUAUAAGUUUGUAUAAAUUUUUAUUUUUAUUUUUAUAUAAAUUUAUAUAUUUUAUUGGGAGGAUAGUUAAAUUUAUUUAACUUUAAUAUUUUAUUUUACAAUAAUUAUUGAUUGUAUGAUUUUAUUUAAUUAAUUAAUAGAUUAAAUUACCUAAGGGAUAACAGCGUAAUAUUUUUGGAGAGUUCAUAUUGAUAAAAAUGUUGGCGACCUCAUUUUUA
rnacentral:rRNA from 1 species